rnacentral:rRNA from 1 species
GACGAACGCUGGCGGCGUGCCUAAUACAUGCAAGUCGAGCGGACCAAACAGGAGCUUGCUCUUGUUUGGUUAGCGGCGGACGGGUGAGUAACACGUGGGUAACCUGCCCGUAAGACCGGGAUACCUCCGGGAAACCGGAGCUAAUACCGGAUAACACCGAAGACCGCAUGGUCUUUGGUUGAAAGGCGGCUUCGGCUGCCACUUACGGAUGGGCCCGCGGCGCAUUAGCUAGUCGGUGAGGGAACGGCUCACCAAGGAGACGAUGCGUAGCCGGCCUGAGAGGGUGACCGGCCACACUGGGACUGAGACACGGCCCAGACUCCUACGGGAGGCAGCAGUAGGGAAUCUUCCGCAAUGGACGAAAGUCUGACGGAGCGACGCCGCGUGAGCGAAGAAGGUCUUCGGAUCGUAAAGCUCUGUUGUUAGGGAAGAAGAAGCGCCGUUCGAACAGGGCGGCGCGGUGACGGUACCUAACGAGAAAGCCCCGGCUAACUACGUG